ensembl:lncRNA
AUUUAUAAUCAUUUCCAGUGUGCUUUCAAUCACAAUCACAUAAAAUUCAGUAAAAUAAUGAAAUAUGCUUUUAGGCUAAUCAAUACCGUAAAUACAUAUAUUUAUUGAUUGUUUAUUACAGGCUACUUUCGAAAUUGAUCUAAGGUUACACUGGAUGGCUUCCGUUAGAGUGAGAAAAGCUGAGAGACAAACAACACCUUCAAUAGUUUUCUACCACUUAUUUGGAUUGUAUACGCCUGAAACAUUUGUUUUCCCUUUGUUUGAUGUGCUCCUUUCUGUUUUUUGCAUUCUCUAUCCUACUACCCCAUUUCCAAAAACAUUGGGACGCUGCGUAAAAUGCAAAUAAAAACAGAAUGCAAUGAUGUGCAAAUCAUUUAUCCCUAUAUUUAAUAGAAAAGAAUCCAAAAACAACAUAUCAAAUGUUGAAACUGAGACAUUUUAUUGUUUCUUGAAAAAUAUAUGCUCACUUUGAAUUUGAUGCCAGCAACAUGGUUCCUUUUCUGGGGCAAACCUGGUGGUGGGUGUUUGUUAAUAGUACCUUACUUCAGUUGCUUGGCCAUCAUCCAGGAAGCACCCCAUGGACCCCUUUCAUUGCUGUUUUAGAACCACCUGUUUUAUUUUGGUCAUUAGUUAUUUCCUUUGUUCCCUUUCUGUUGGGGUUAUUUUUGGUGUUAGUUAUUAAGGAAUAAAACUCAUAUAGUUAGGUCCCUACUGGUGAUGGUGACUUUAUCCUUUUCUGGAUCCUUAUGAAGAGACUGAUGGUCACUGACAAGAACCAGAAGGCUCUAACACAAACACAGAGAGACUAUUGUCAUUUAAUUUAAAGGAGUAUUUUGACUUUAUUAAUCUUAACGUUAAACUGUUCCUCACCCAGAAAUAAGGUAUUUAUCUAUGAUUUUGUUGUCUUUGAACAGCCAUUACCAACUUAUGCUAACCUUAGCCACUUCUCCCAAACUUCUGCUAACUUUAGCCACUUCUCCCAAACUUCUAGUAACUUUAGCCACUUCUCCCAAACUUCUGCUAAAUUUAGCCACUUCUCCCUAACAAUUAAUGAUAAUUAAAUGUAAAAUGGUCAAAUUAAAAUUAAAAAAAACUCUCCAUAUCUGGUUUGAUGUCACCUAAAUGUGAUUUGGAAAUAACAAUGAACAAUUUAC